UGAUUCAAAGUAUUUUUUGUGUUCUUUUUUAGAAAUAAGAGGGAUGUAAAGAGAGGAUUUGCUAGAUUAAUGUAAAGUUGACAUUCUGUUACAAAGAAGAUAUUUGAGUUUGUUUGCUUCUUUUUUUUUUUUCACGUACAACUAUUUUUGACACGCAUUGUUAUUUUUCACAUAUAAUAGAGAGAAACUUGAAGUAUACGAGAGAUUUCUAACUUCGAAGGUGAUAAUACAACUUUGAAUCAUUGACCAUACACAUGUGAGUCUUGAAUUUGUGCUUCAAUGCAC
rnacentral:lncRNA from 1 species